rnacentral:rRNA from 1 species
AUUGAACGCUGGCGGCAGGCCUAACACAUGCAAGUCGAACGGCAGCACAGAAGAGCUUGCUCUUUGGGUGGCGAGUGGCGGACGGGUGAGUAAUGUCUGGGAAACUGCCCGAUGGAGGGGGAUAACUACUGGAAACGGUAGCUAAUACCGCAUAACGUCGCAAGACCAAAGUGGGGGACCUUCGGGCCUCACACCCUCGGAUGUGCCCAGAUGGGAUUAGCUAGUAGGUGGGGUAAUGGCUCACCUAGGCAACGAUCCCGAGCUGGUCUGAGAGGAUGACCAGCCACACUGGAACUGAGACACGGUCCAGACUCCUACGGGAGGCAGCAGUGGGGAAUAUUGCACAAUGGGCGCAAGCCUGAUGCAGCCAUGCCGCGUGUAUGAAGAAGGCCUUCGGGUUGUAAAGUACUUUCAGCGGGGAGGAAGGCGGUGAGGUUAAUAACCUUGCCGAUUGACGUUACCCGCAGAAGAAGCACCGGCUAACUCCGUGCCAGCCGCCGCCGUAA